rnacentral:rRNA from 1 species
AUUGAACGCUGGCGGCAGGCCUAACACAUGCAAGUCGAACGAGUGGCGGACGGGUGCGUAAUGUAUGGGAAACUGCCCGAUGGAGGGGGAUAACUACUGGUAACGGUAGCUAAUACCGCAUACCAUCAGAUGUACCCAGAUGGGAUUAGCUUGUUGGUGAGGUACAGGCUCACCAAGGCGCCGAUCCCUAGCUGGUCUGAGAGGAUGACCAUCCACACUGGGACUGAGACACGGUCCAGACUCCUACGGUAGUCAGCAGUGGGGAAUAUUGCACAAUGGGCGCAAGCCUGAUGCAGCCAUGCCGCGUGUAAGAAGAAGGCCUUCGGGUUGUAAAGUACUUUCAGCGGGGAGGCGUUACCCGCAGAAGAAGCACCGGCUAACUCCGUGCCAGCAGCCGCGGUAAUAC